UGAGUAUCAGGCAGAAAUUCCUCCCAUGAUAUCAGAAUCUCAGCAUUUUCAGCUUUCACUGGACCCUUUUGAUUCAAAAGUCACAGCUGAUGGUUCUCAUUCCUUUCUAAUAGGUUUACCUAUCCCAAUUACUUGGAUUCAGGACACAAUAAAUGACAGAAAUGAAGGGUGCAGAAUGAGCAAUCCUGAUGAUUCAAUCCAAGGGACACGGUCAAGCAAAUCAAGAACGACUGGAAAGAAUAAUAUUCUGGAGAAGAAAGGUUCAAAACAAAAUGCAGAACCAACAGAUCUUGGAUUGGACGAUGGAAAUGAACCAAAACCAGUAACUCUUGGGCCCAUGGAGGCAGGAGAAGCUAACUUAUCUUUGCUGCAGAAAAGCAACAAUUCUGAUCCUGUUCCUGGUUCAUUAAAUCAUCCUUGGAGUGAUGUCGAUGUUGAUAGUUUUAUUCUUGGU
rnacentral:misc_RNA from 1 species